rnacentral:tRNA from 1 species
GCCUGCCUAGCUCAAUCAGAUAGAGCGUCAGACUCUUAUGUUCUGAUAUUGUCAUGGGGUUCUCAAUCUGAAGGCUUGCGAGUUCGACCCUCGCGUUGGGCU